rnacentral:rRNA from 1 species
AGGACGAACGCUGGCGGCGUGCAUAACACAUGCAAGUCAAGGGGGUCAGUAGCAAUACUGGCAACCGGCGAACGGGUGCGUAACACGUAAGCGACCUACCUCGAUGUGGGGCAUAGCCGGCCUAACGGCCGGGUAAUUCCGCAUAAGAUCCUGAAGGGGCAUCUCUUCGGGAUGAAACCAGUAAUGGGCGUCGAGAGGGGCUUGCGGCCUAUCAGCUAGUUGGUGAGGUAACGGCUCACCAAGGCUACGACGGGUAGCUGGU